rnacentral:rRNA from 1 species
AAUGAACGCUGGCGGCAGGCCUAACACAUGCAAGUCGAGCGCGCGGCGGACGGGUGAGUAAUGUAUGGGAAUCUCGCAUAGGGAGGGGGAUAACUCCGGGAAACUGUAGUUAAUACCGCGAACCAGAGGAUGAGCCCAUGUGGGACUAGGUAGUUGGUGAGGUAAAGGCUCACCAAGUCAACGAUCUCUAGCUGGUCUGAGAGGAUGACCGGCCACAAUGGAACUGAGACACGGCCCAGACUCCUACGGGAGGCAGCAGUGGGGAAUAUUGCGAAAUGGGGGCAACCUGACGCAGCCAUGCCGCGUGACUGAAGAAGGCCUUCGGGUUGUAAAGUUCUUUCAGUAGCGAAGCGUUAACUACAGAAGAAGCACCGGCUAACUCCGUGCCAGCAGCCGCGGUAAUAC